AUUAACAUAGAUUCUUUGCUGAGGUUAACACCUUUAUAGCAAAAUAUCAAGAAAUACGGUUUCGUGUUAAAUAAAACACCAUUGAAUAAUGAAAAAUGAAAUACAAUUUUAAUCUACAGUUAAAUUAGUUAAUUAAUAAAGGUUAAUGUUAAUUAUUGUAAUGUGUCAUAUUGAUUCUUGAAGGAAGAAACAGUAACAGCUGCAACAACGUUAUCAGGCAAGCCAUUCCAUAUAUCAAAUGCACGAUUUGUCAAAUAAUUCUUUCUAACGGUAGUCUUAAAUGGUUCUUUUUUCAGCUUAUAAGAAUGACCUCUAAGUCUGUCAUGAUAUUGAAUUUGCAAGAAAUUGCGUGUUACUCCAGGAAAUAAACCAUGAGUAAGCCGAAAAAUUUGAAUUGCAUCUGCCCUGUUUUGACGAGCACGUAGAUCUGGUAUUUUGAGUAUUUCAAGACGUUGUUCAUAUGAAACUUGUCUUAAACAGUGUGUCCAUCUAGUUACCAGGUGCUGAGUUCUUUCCAGCAAAUCAAUAUCCUUUAACAAAUAAGGUCUCCAGACUGGAAUGGCAAAUUCCAAAUGCGGCCUUAUGUAAGUGAUGUACACUUUUGAAAUAAAACUGACUGAAGGAUUUGGAAAAACAUGCUUUAGCAAAUAAAACAUUUUACGCGCUCGACCCACUGAUGCUAGACAUUGCUCUGACCAUCCUAACUUAUCAUUUACAAUGACCCCUAGAUCUUUGGUUGAGGUUUUUACACUCAGGAGUGUGCCAUUUAUAUGGUAAAGGUACUUUGGGUUGUUGUGGCCACACUGAAGUACACAGCAUUUUGCAAUAUUUAGUGGUAUUUGCCACUUCUCGCUCCAUUGGAAGAUUAAAUUAAGUUGGUCUUGCAAGUCCGUGACAAGUGGGUUAGCAAAUAACUUAAUAUCAUCCGCAUAUGCUGAAUAGCUGUCCAGUGAAAACAAUAAAUCUGCUGUAUAUAACAAGAAUAAAAUUGGUCCAAGAACUGAUCCCUGUGGGACCCCACUUAAUACUGGUUUAGAGUACGAAAAUUUACCACAGACUUUUACACAAUAGUUUCGAUUUGAUAGAAACGCUCGGAUCCAAUCAAGCAAAUUUCCUGUUACACCAUAGGACUCCAGUUUUGCUAACAAGAGAUUGUGAGGGACUUUAUCAAAGGCUUUACUAAAAUCAAGGUAAAUUAUGUCUACAGGUUGGUUAGUGUCUAACAUUUUUGUCCAUAGAUUUGUGCAGGAUAGCAAAUUUGUGACAACUGACCUACCUGGUAAAAAGCCGUGCUGAUGCUCAGCAUGUCGACGUGAGACUUACAGGUCUAUAGUUAGCAGGAUCAAGUUUAUCUCCUGACUUGUACAAAGGCGUGAUUGUUGCUUGCAACCACUCGUAGGGCAAAGUGCCUUGUAAGAAUGAUUUUGUCAUCAUUUUGGCAAGUGGGCCCGACAACGAAGCAGCACAAGUUCUCAGGAGUUUGGGAGGUAUCUGAUCCGGACCUGGAGCUGUAUUUAAUUUAAUGGCACAGAGUUGGCUUUUUACCAGAUCCGGAGUAAAAUUAAUAUAAGACAACCCACUAAAUGUAGCAGCAAAACUGUCCGCUAAAGUGUUUGCAGUUUCUGUAUGAUCGGAGCAGAGUAGACCUGAAGCAUUUCGUACUAAAGGGACCGACACACGACUAGAGAUAAAUUUACGUACAUGGGAAUAAAAUAGUUUUGGUUUAUUUAAUAUAGAAUUUUCAUAAUUACACCUGGCUAUUUGUAAAUCAGAUUUUAGUUGGUUAGAAAAUCUUUUAUAAGCAGAAAAAUUAUCUUCAGUAGGCUUCCUUUUAAAUUUUUUCCAUAAUUUAGCUUUGUAUUUUAUUUUGUCAAGCAUGUGGUGAUUUAUCCACGGUUUAUCUUUUCUCAGUCGGUUUGUAAACAGUCUGGAAUUUGUUGUAAUGCAAGUUUGUAAAAUCGAUUUAAAAUGUUUCCAUUGUUCUUCCGCAUUUAGUGAAUCUAAACCAUUCCAGUCGUAAGUCAAGAGACUUUCGUCUAUGCGAGUGUAGUCAACAAUUGAUGUUGUUUUAAUUCUUGCAUUUGGCUCUGAAUAUAUCAUAAUUUGUAACUCAAUUUCGAUUUUUGAAUGAUCAGAUGUACCUACAGGAUUCAAAACGUUUAAAGACGAUACAAGGUUAACGUCAGACAAAAUUACCAAAUCAAGUAAUGAAGGACGUUGUUGGGAUCUAAAUCGUGUAGGUUCAGUGACUAUUUGUGACAAAUUAUUCUCCAAGAGCAAUUCAGAAAAUUGUUUUUCGAUGAUUGUUUGACCUGUUGUGUUUUUAGCAGACCAGUCUAUACAUGGAAAAUUGAAAUCUCCCAUGAUAAUUAAGUUAGGAUACUGAUUAAUAGUUGAUUGUAUGGUAUUAAAUAGAUUUUUAUCAUUUUCGUGAUUGUUAAAAGACGCUCCUGUUGGUGGUCUGUAAAUACAUGCUAUAACAAAGGUUUGUUCAUUUCCUUCAAAUUUUAACCAUAGAGAAUCAUAAGGUUUAACAGAUAUGCAAAUUUGAGUAAUUUUAAAAAAUUUUGAAAUUUUAAUUUUAUCUACAUAAAAACACACACCGCCACCUUUUUGAGAUAGGCGAUCAUCUCUGUAAAUAGAGUAAUUUUCAAUGUGUACAGCAUCAUCAGAGAUAGACGGAUUAAGCCAAGUCUCCGUGAGUGCGAUAAUAGAAGGUCUAAAUUCAGUUACUUCUAAUAACAAAUCAUUAAAUUUUGAAGAUAAAGAUGCGAUAUUCGUAUACAGAAGAGCCAUUGAACAAGGUAAUUUCCAGAGGAAACAACAACAACCACAUACACCCAGAUAUCAAAUUCAACAAUCAACACCAAGAAUCAACCACUGAAAAUGAAUCCCAAAGGCAAGAGCACGCAGAGACACGACUGCACUCUCAUACGCACACGCAGUUAUGUAUCACUUUGAAUAA